AGUGAACGCUGGCGGUAGACCUAACACAUGCAAGUCGAACGGCAGCACAGUAAGAGCUUGCUCUUACGGGUGGCGAGUGGCGGACGGGUGAGGAAUACAUCGGAAUCUACUUUUUCGUGGGGGAUAACGUAGGGAAACUUACGCUAAUACCGCAUACGACCUACGGGUGAAAGCAGGGGAUCUUCGGACCUUGCGCGAUUGAAUGAGCCGAUGUCGGAUUAGCUAGUUGGCGGGGUAAAGGCCCACCAAGGCGACGAUCCGUAGCUGGUCUGAGAGGAUGAUCAGCCACACUGGAACUGAGACACGGUCCAGACUCCUACGGGAGGCAGCAGUGGGGAAUAUUGGACAAUGGGCGCAAGCCUGAUCCAGCCAUACCGCGUGGGUGAAGAAGGCCUUCGGGUUGUAAAGCCCUUUUGUUGGGAAGGAAAAGCAGCAGGUUAAUACCCCGCUGUUCUGACGGUACCCAAAGAAUAAGCACCGGCUAACUUCGUG
rnacentral:rRNA from 1 species